UGGGGAAUAUUGCGCAAUGGGGGAAACCCUGACGCAGCGACGCCGUGUGAGGGAAGAAGGCCUUCGGGUCGUAAACCUCUGUCGGGAGGGAAGAACCGCCAGGAGAAUAACACGCUCCUGGUCUGACGGUACCUCCAAAGGAAGCACCGGCUAACUCCGUGCCAGCAGCCGCGGUAAUACGGAGGGUGCUAGCGUUAAUCGGAAUCACUGGGCGUAAAGCGCGCGUAGGCGGCCUUGUAAGUCGGAUGUGAAAUCCCACGGCUCAACCGUGGAACUGCAUUCGAAACUCCUUGGCUAGAGUACAGGAGAGGGUGGCGGAAUUCCCGGUGUAGGAGUGAAAUCCGUAGAGAUCGGGAGGAACACCAGUGGCGAAGGCGGCCACCUGGACUGUAACUGACGCUGAGGCGCGAAAGCGUGGGGAGCAAACA
rnacentral:rRNA from 1 species